rnacentral:rRNA from 1 species
UGCCAGCCGCCGCGGUAAUACGGAGGGUGCGAGCGUUAAUCGGAAUCACUGGGCGUAAAGCGUACGUAGGCGGCGUAUCAAGUCAGGCGUGAAAGCCCUCGGCUCAACCGAGGAAUUGCGUUUGAAACUGGUAUGCUAGAGUCUCGGAGAGGUUGGCGGAAUUCCAGGUGUAGGAGUGAAAUCCGUAGAUAUCUGGAGGAACACCGGUGGCGAAGGCGACUGACUGGACUGGUACUGACGCUGAGAUGCGAAAGUGUGGGGAGCAAACAGGAUUAGAUA